rnacentral:rRNA from 1 species
AGAGUUUGAUCAUGGCUCAGNNNNAACGUUAGCGGCACGCCUAACACAUGCAAGUCGCACGAGAAAGGGAGCAAUCCUGAGUAGAGUGGCGCACGGGUGCGUAACACGUAGAUAACCUGCCCUUUGGAGGGGGAUAACGUUCCGAAAGGAGCGCUAAUACCGCAUAACGCCUUUUCCGGUUCGCCGGAGAUUGACAAAGGUAGGGACCCGCAAGGGCCUAUCGCCAGAGGAGGGGUCUGCGGCCCAUCAGCUAGUUGGGGAGGUAAUGGCUCACCAAGGCAGAGACGGGUAGCUGGUCUGAGAGGAUGAUCAGCCACACUGGUACUGGAACACGGACCAGACUCCUACGGGAGGCAGCAGUGGGGAAUCUUGGUCAAUGGGCGCAAGCCUGAACCAGCGAUGCCGCGUGAGUGAUGAAGGCCUUCGGGUUGUAAAGCUCUGUGGGGCGGGACGAAAAAGCAGGUUCUAACAGGACCUGAAAUUGACGGUACCGCCUUAGCAAGCACCGGCUAACUCUGUGCCAGCAGCCGCGGUAAGACAGAGGGUGCAAACGUUGCUCGGAAUCACUGGGCGUAAAGGGCGUGUAGGCGGGAAGGAAAGUCGGGCGUGAAAUCCCUGGGCUCAACCCAGGAACUGCACUCGAAACUUCUUUUCUUGAGUGCCGGAGAGGAAAGCGGAAUUCCUGGUGUAGAGGUGAAAUUCGUAGAUAUCAGGAGGAACACCAGUGGCGAAGGCGGCUUUCUGGACGGUAACUGACGCUGAGACGCGAAAGCGUGGGGAGCAAACAGGAUUAGAUACCCUAGUAGUCC